rnacentral:lncRNA from 10 species
AGAGUAAGUAAGAACAAAAAACUCUUUUGGCCAAUACGAAGGUGGUCUCAGCAUUUUCUGUUCCAGAACCAAAGACUAUUCUUCUACUCGCAGAUGGAAUUCAAAUACCUGUCGUGUUCAAGACAGCCCCAUGGGGAUUAUAGGUGGAUGUCAGAACUAUACCCAGAUUCAGACAUGUGACACUUUCGGGCUGAAGCACUUAAGAGCCAGUGUGCCCUGUCCAUUUCUGUCUUCUGUCCUGUGGAUUUGGAAGCAUGUGUUGACAGAACAAUGUCUUAUGGUGAAGGAAGCCUAAACCCCUGAGUCAUUGGAUGGAGGAGAGCCCAUGUUGACCCAUAAAGGACUUCAUGGUCUCGCUCUGUCACCCAGGCUGGAGUGCAGGCGUGCUAUCUUGGCUCACUGCAACUUCUGCUUCCCGAGUUCAAGAGAUCCUCAUACCUCAGCCUCCUGAGUAGCCGGGACUACAGGCAUGCGCCACCACACCCAGGGUGGGGACUCUCGUGGAAAGGCUAGAUGAUGGAGUCACGUGCUCCCUUCCCGUUCACUAGCUGCUGAUUGGCCAACUGCUCCUGCCAGCUGUCCCUGCACUCCAGCUUCCUACCAUAUGCUC